AUGGGCGCCACCGCUAGCAGCUUCUACUACUCGUCCUUGCCGCCGUCUCCUCCGUCCAAGUGCAGCGUGUGGGAGACGAUGUCAGCCACGCGCCUCUUCACGGUCCCCGACUACUCCAAGUGGGCGCUGAUGCGCCCCGGCUCCGCGCUGCUCUUCGACCACGCGCUCCACCUCCUCGGCUACAGCUACGAUGUCAAGGUGUACCCCGCCGGCUACGUCAAGGCUAAGGACGAGGCGGUGUGCCCUGCCGGCUACAGCAAGGAGGCGGACUUCGUCGCCGUCUUCGCCGAACCGACCACACACAGGUAUUAUUCCAAGGACAUGGAGGCCUCGAGGAUCUCGAUGGAGAUCCUGGACGGCAGCGGCGAGCGCACCGUCUUUGAUAACCACACGGUCACCUCCAGGCAGAACGGCAAACUAAACACGGGCUACGUCUGGUUCGUCAAGCGGAGGGAGCUAGAGGCGUCAGGCUGCCUCCGCGGUGACAGCUUCACCAUCCGGUGCACGGUGUCCGCCGACGUGCAGAUCACCAGGUCGUCGGCCGAGGUCAUGGAGGCCUUGACCGCGGCCGCUUCUGAUCCCUCCAAGACGCAGCUCACUGGGUCCCACAUGCUGACGAUCGACCGCUUCUCGAAGAUCAAGGCGGUGCUCCGGACCGGGGACUGCGUGCACUCCACCCAGUUUAGCCUCGGCGGCAGCAACUGGUACUUCAAGGUCUACCCGAAUGGCAGCGGUCGGUACGGCGACAGGACCAGCUGCGGCAUGUCCGUCUUCCUCGGACGCGGGAGGUCCGACGAGCCGGCGACCACCGCCGAGUUCCGCUUCGAGAUCGGCGAUCAAAAGGAGGUGAGAUCCACGAAGCACACGUUCCGCCAUCACGAUCCCGAGCACGAGUUCCCGUACUUACAGUACUUUGCCGGAAAGACGAUUGCCGAUGGCCGGCUUGUUGUUCGCUGCCACGUUCGCGUGAUCAAGGCCGAGACCCCGAAUUAG
rnacentral:rRNA from 1 species